CAGGAGCUGCUGCUGGUGAAGUCGCUGCUCUUCUGCACGGUGCUUGCGACGCCGCCUUGGCAGCAGCUCUCGUCCUCCGGUGCUGCGUGUGGAGCCUCCGUGCCGCGGAGGGGAGAGCCACAUCACACGGCGCUAUAUCGGUUGCGCUUCUGAAAGGCGGCUUCGCUGGGAAAGGGGGACCCGUUGGGAAGCUAGCAAGAUGCUUCCUGAAUAAAACGGCAGCUGAGGUGGAUGGUCUGGCCUGAUUUCGGGGGUUAUGACAGCCUUUGCAACCCUUUAAGACUUCUUGAAUAUCAUUCCUGUCUGUAUUGCUGUCCAUCCCUGCCCCCAAGAACGUGGGAGUGGAUUAUGCUGCCAGCACAGUGCUUGCUCUGACCACUGUCCUCGUGAAUGUCAGCUUAUUCACAGUGAAACAGCCCUCUUUUGCCACUUCAUCAAGGACAGCUCGAUGUCUCGUGCUCGAUGCAUCUGUCUCAUCACUCUGACAGUCAUAAAUCCAGUAGCUGCUUAACGCUUCUUAAGGAGGAGUGGGGUUUUGGAGGGUUUGUUUCACACUAACAAAAUCCAGGUUCGUGUCGUGGUGUGAACUUAGCAUUGCAAAAGUCUAGUGUAAGCUACUGUUUGUUUGGACACCUUUUUUACUUAAAAUUGCUGAGGGUGAUUUGUCUGCUCUUCAUUCCCAGAAUCUGUCUUCCAUUUGGUACCCUCACAUCUUCCAUUUU
rnacentral:lncRNA from 1 species